AGCCCAACUUAUCAUAUCCGGAGUAUAUAGACGCACACAAUCACAAUCUUCUAUAUACAAAAUUCAUUCAUCCCAGUUUUGUUCGAAAAUCUUCAAUGGAUUCCCAAUCACAUCCAGUUCAAGAACAAUCACAAACCCUAAAUUCGUAUCAAAGUUCUUCAGAUUUGUACUGUCAAAACCCUUCACAAACCCUAGGUCAAGAUCCCCCACCAGGUGUUUGUGAUAAUUCAGCUCAAAACAAAAUGUCAGAUUUGAAUUCGAAUCAGCCAUUGUUGUCCGGUAAUGGGUUGAUUAGCACUCAUAGCGGUGGUGCCGAGUCAGGUGGUGAAGAAGAAACUUCCAGUAGAAGGAGGAGGAGAAGCCGAUGGGACCCACCCCCGACUGAUUCGAGCAAUGAUGGCACUGGAGCUGGACGGAAGAGGAAAUCGAGGUGGGCAGACGAUGAGCCGAAGCCAGUGAUUCAGUUACCUGAUUUCAUGAAGGAUUUCGCUGGAGGUAUUGAAUUUGACCCUGAAGUACAAGCUCUUAAUAGUAGAUUACUUGAAAUUAGUAGGAAACUGCAAUCUGGUAUGCCUUUAGAUGAUAGACCUGAAGGAGCUCGAUCCCCUUCGCCUGAACCUAUAUAUGAUAAUAUGGGUGUACGUAUAAAUACCAGGGAGUAUCGUGCUCGAGAAAAACUAAAUAGAGAAAGACAAGAGAUUAUAUCACAGAUAAUAAAGAAAAAUCCAGCUUUUAAGCCACCAGCAGAUUAUAGGCCUCCUAAGCUUCAUAAAAAGCUUUACAUUCCAAUGAAGGAGUACCCCGGUUAUAAUUUUAUCGGCCUUAUAAUUGGACCCAGAGGGAAUACUCAGAAGAGAAUGGAAAAGGAGACUGGAGCAAAGAUUGUAAUUCGAGGGAAAGGGUCCAUUAAAGAAGGGAGGUUCCAACAGAAAGGGAAUUUGAAACAUGAUCCCUCAGAGAAUGAGGAUUUACAUGUCCUAGUCGAAGCUGAUACUCAGGAGUCACUUGAGGCUGCUGCAGCUAUGUUGGAGAAGCUUUUGCAGCCUGUCGAUGAAGUACUUAAUGAGCAUAAGAGGCAGCAGCUCAAGGAACUUGCAGCGUUGAAUGGAACUAUUAGAGAUGAAGAGUUUUGUAGGCUUUGUGGUGAACCAGGUCAUAGGCAAUAUGCUUGUCCUUCUCGCACCACCACAUUUAAAAGUGAUGUGCUUUGCAAAAUAUGUGGUGAUGGAGGACAUCCCACUAUAGAUUGUCCAGUGAAAAAUACUACUGGAAAGAAAAUGGAUGAUGAGUAUCAGAACUUCUUGGCGGAAUUGGGAGGGACAGUUCCUGAAUCAUCACUUAAGCAGAAUGCAGCAACUCUUGCUCUUGGUCCCGGAAGCACAGGCAGUAAUCCUCCUUGGGCCAGCAGUAAUAGUGCAAGUGGUGGUGGUACCACUUCACACCCUGGAUUAGGGUCAAAUAUAAUGAAGCCAAAAGAAUUUGACGAGACAAACUUGUAUAUUGGUUACCUUCCUCCUACUCUAGAUGAUGAUGGGUUGAUCAAUUUAUUCUCUCCCUUUGGUACCAUCGUAAUGGCUAAAGUUAUAAAGGAUCGUCUCAGUGGUCUGAGUAAAGGUUAUGGUUUUGUUAAGUAUGCAGAUGUUCAACAAGCUAAUAGUGCUACUGUUGGCAUGAAUGGUCAUUGCCUUGAUGGGAGAACUAUUGCUGUGAGAGUAGCCGGCAAACCCCCUCAGCCUGCUGUGCCUCCAAGCCCUCCUGCUCCAGCAAUGCCCCCAUAUCCUGUUCCUAAUCAGGCAUCCGGAGUCUAUCCGUCUCAGCAGUAUGCAACGGGUGGUCCCAUUGGUCCCCCGGGUGGCUAUGCUGGGACUCCAGUUCCUUGGGGACCACCUGUGCCUCCACCAUAUGCCUCUUACCCGCCUCCUGGAUCAACCAUGUAUCCUCCUCCUCCAGGUCAAUUUGUACCUCCAUAUGGUGCACGGUAUCCUCCACCAAUGCCAACACCAUCUUCCGGUGUCCCUACUCAGACAGUUUCUUCUGGCGAAAACCAGCAAAAUUAUACAUCUUCUGGUGAGACACAACAAAGUUAUCCUCCCGGAGUGCAAUCUCAUAAUAGUGCUCCUGUUCAAUCGCUUCCCAGUUAUGCCUAUGGCAAUUCCGUCGCUGCAAUGCCACCCCAUACCCAACCUGCAUAUCCAACAUCUUCAUACAGUUAUCCUUCUUAUUAUGGCAUGGCACCACCACCUCCUCUUCCUCCAACUGCAACACAGUCCAGUAUAGAUCAUUCACAGAGUAUUAGCAAUGUUCCUUGGGCCUCAAAUCCACCAGAACCUGCAUCUCCACCUCCACCAUCUGCAGACAAACCUCCAUAUGGUACAGAUGCAAAGUAUGAAAAGUUCAUGUCGGAGAUCAAAUGAUGAUGCAGGUAACUUGUAUUUGCUUGUAGUACAUGGUAUGGAAAUGUUACAGUUGUAGCCUUUUGUUUUGGUGUACAAUCUUGGUUUGCACUUUUCAUGCCUUAUGUAUACACUCAUACUCACACUGUCACAGUCGCACUUACCCUGGGACAUCUAGCGAUCUUAUGAUACCUCACUGUUUUCCACCUUUAGUCCCCACCCACACACACUCUCUCCUUUUUUGAGGGAUGGGGGUACUUAUAUAUUAGGCAUACUCAUAGGUGCUUUCUGUAUCUAACCUUUUCAGCAUCUUUUGUGACCAUUUCUUAACUAUUCUUCCACUUCCACUAACAUCCCCGAGAAAGAAAAAAGGGUUGGCGAGGAGGAAUUAGAAUGUAGGUAAACAAAUUUGUCAACCAUUUUCAUUUGUUUUCUACUUCUACCUGGACAAGUAUCUAUGUCUAGAAUUUGGUCCUUGCGUUCCACUUGUUGGAAUUUGACUUAUUUAGAGAUUUCUUUUUCCUCUAGUUUGAAAAAGCUUUAUUUCAAUUUGGUCUUAACGUUUCUCCUUGUUGCCAUGUUUUGACAGGCUGAUUUGUUGGAGCACUUCACAUGAUUUCUUACCUCUUGCCAUGUCUUACUUCUUUAACCGUGCUGUACUAUUAUGAUAUUUGCAGAGAGAUGAGGAGUUGAGUCGAUUCCUCAUGUGUUGGAGCAGCUAAUUAGAAGGUGCAUCUUCAAGAUGUGAAGGUCCUCAGGGUAUGUGACUUGAUAGUAUGACUAUUACGUUCACAUGUCUCCGGAUUAUUUCUUUGUUACUUGAUUCUGAUGAUGUCUUGUGACAGGAAAAGAUUCUUGUAGUGCAAUGGGCAAUCCUGUUCUGGACCGAGUGUUGAGAAAUUUUCUUAUCCUCAUAUAUAGUUGUAUUAAAUUUAACCUUGUCGGCUUUACUUGGUUAUUCUUGAGAACUAGAUUUCAGCACCAAGAGAGAUGAUUUAGCUCAUCAAAACUGGGAAAGACGAAAAGCCUAGGGAGUAAGAAGAGAUAAUAUUAAAUGCUUACUGUUUGAGUCGUGUAAGCAGUAAUGGACUAAGUUUUUCGUGUUGUAGUACGCGUAAGGGUUGCUGUAUUAUCAUUUGAUUUUAGCUAUUUGUUUAGCGGGAAGAGCAUAUUGUCGUAGGAGGCUAGCAUUAACUUAGAAUGUGGAUACUUUGAGAUAGAAUUGUGGUUGUGAAGUCUUUGAGAGUAUAUACAGUGAGUUAUGUCAUACUACUAAAGAAGGUUAAUAACAUGCUCUUUUCUUUUCAAUCUU